rnacentral:rRNA from 1 species
UUAAACCUCUUCCAGAGUAUCAAUUGGAGGGCAAGUCUGGUGCCAGCAGCCGCGGUAAUUCCAGCUCCAAUAGCGUAUAUUAAAAUUGUUGCAGUUAAAAAGCUCGUAGUUGAAUAUCUGCUGCAUCGUCGCAUCUCUUGCUGAGUGCUUCGUUUCGGCUUAUUUCGGAUUGAUUUUUUCUUUCCGGAUGAUUACUUUGAGAAAAUUAGAGUGCUCAAAGCAGGCUUUUGCCUUGAAUAGUUUAGCAUGGAAUAAUAAAGUAGGACUUUGGUUCUAUUUUGUUGGUUUUAGGUACCAAAGUAAUGGUUAAUAGGAACAGUUGGGGGCAUUCGUAUUUAACUGUCAGAGGUGAAAUUCUUAGAUUUGUUAAAGACGAACUACUGCGAAAGCAUUUGCCAAGGAUGUUUUCAUUAAUCAAGAACGAAAGUUAGGGGAUCGAAGACGAUCAGAUACCGUCGUAGUCCUAACCAUAAACUAUGCCGACUAGAGAUUGGAGGUCGUCAGUUUUUACGACUCCUUCAGCACCUUGAGAGAAAUCAAGGUCUUUGGGUUCUGGGGGGAGUAUGGUCGCAAGGCUGA